rnacentral:rRNA from 1 species
AAAUUGAAGGGUUCGAUCCUGGCUCAGAAUGAACGUUGGCGGCGUGGAUUAGGCAUGCAAGUCGUACGGAGGUAGCAAUACCUUAGUGGCGAAAGGGAUAGGAAUACAUAGAUCAUCUGCCCUCAAGUUACGGAUAGCGAUGGGAAACUGUCGGUAAUACGUGAUGUGUUCUCCGGAACAAAGGUGUGAUUCCGCUUGGGGAUGAGUCUAUGUCCUAUUAGCUAGUUGGUGUGGUAACGGCACACCAAGGCGAUGAUG